AUGACCUUCGAUCCCGCGAGAUCCCGAGGCAUCAACCUCCCUUCCGCGAGAUCCGGUGACGCCGGCCACCGAGAACCGCUGCUCUGCCAUCGUCUCCUUGCUGCUGCCCACCGAGGUCCUUGUGUUGCUUCGUUUCGGACCAUCAAGACUGGCAAGAUCGACUACAUGGACGCCAAGUACCACGACACCGAAGACCCGGACUUCACCAAAAACCAAUACUCGAUGACCCUUCGGAUGCGCCAAGUUCGUCUACACAAAAACGCCAAGUACCCCUCAUGUUGGCAAGACCCGCAAGUCAGACCCCAAACGAUCGACUUCUCGUGGACCGUGUACAACUACUGUCGCGCCGAGGACGUUGGAUUCGUUAAGUACCUCUCCGAAGACGAAACGUAUACCGCUACCACCACAAAAAUCGAGACCAACAAGUCUGAAGAUGCAAGUACCACUCCAGACCAUGCAAGAUGA
rnacentral:rRNA from 1 species